AACUGAUACUACCUGCGGGAACCUGCGGAAGGAUCAUUAUCGUAUAACAGAGGCACCCAGGGCUGUCGCUGGCCUUAACAGGUUGUGCACGCCCAAAGUGCUCUCAAAUCCAUCUCACCCCUUUGUGCAUCACCACGUGAGGCCCCCAUUCAGGGGUCUUGCGUUUUUACAACAUACGCCGCAUGUAUAGAAUGUCUUUGCGAUCACACGCAAUUAAUAUAACUUUUAGCAACGGAUCUC
rnacentral:misc_RNA from 1 species